AAACUACACACAAACUAGGGUUUGUCUCAACUCUCAUUUGGUCCGCCGCUCAUCCUCUCAUCCUCUGCUCUCUCUCUCUCUAUGGCGAUUGCUCUCUCUCGAAUCUCGCCAGAUCUCUCACCAGAUCUGUGAGGAUUUCACCAGAAUUGAUGAUGAAGGGUUUGCCAUUUCAUCCAUCUCCCUGCUUCUCUCUCAAAGAAGAUCUAGGGUUUCUCUAGGCGGAGCCGAGCCACUGGCUCACUGCGACCUCGCCGGCGGUUUGAUACUUCCAUGGAACCAAAUAGUCGGCUGCUCAUAUCGCCAAAUCCGGUUUCAGUGACACUCUUUUCGUUUUUGGGAGUGAAGAAUAAGCAGAUCCGGUAUCCUGUAUGUUCGUAGACCUCAAUCACCCCUGUGAAAUAAUUUUUAUUAUUGAUUAAAGAUACUUCAGCAGACCAUCAAAGGUUCCCUUUUCUGAAUUUUUUUGAUACGAAUGCCACCAGAAGCACUCGAUCUUGUCUUCAUGUAGUGCUUGACGGCUUCCUGAAGAAACAAGUGUGAAGAUUUGCGCUUGUAUUUUGGUAGGUUUGGACGUAUUUUGGAUGUGUAUAUCCCAAAGAUACGUGAAGCUGAUAUAUCCUUAUUGUCAUUUGCUGUUGAGCUUGCUGAAGAGUUCUAUGGAAGAGUAAAGGGGCAAGAUGUGGCGUUUGAACCAACAAAACUUCUGUGGCUUAUACAACGUGACUUCUUACUAAUUUUUCUGACCACACGAGGGCCUGCAAAUCGGGAAUGCCUCUUGUACAUAUAGCUUUUUAGGCUGUACAAGAGGUUAUUUAUAUAUAAAAUCGUAUCUAGAGGUUUUACCAUCUAAGUUUUGGGUACGUGAUGAUAGAAACAUAUCGCCCUGGUGGGCCUUGCGGAUUGCGCCCUUUAAAACCAAGCAACCUGUCACCUGUAAGGACUACUGGUAUCAACUCAUGCAGUAAUGCACAUAUGUUGUAGCUUCAGUUUCUCUAUUUCUAACACGAAUGCCGAUUUCUUAAUUUUUUGGAUUGAUAUAUACAGUUGCUUACGCCGCAUUGUGUCUCACUUGCUUACGCCUCAUGAGGCGAAGGGAAAACACUUCAAGUCGCGUUUCCGUUCUUUUAAACCUUGACUAUAA